CCUCCUUUCUUCCUCCUUCUUUCCUUUUUCUCCCUUUUCUCCCGCCUGCCGCCGCCACCCCGCGUGAAUGUUAAGCCCUUCGGGGUGUAAAGUUCUGUCAAUAGGGACGAAUUUUGACUGUACCUAUAAAGGAAGCACCGGCUAACUCCGUGCCAGCAGCCGCGGUAAUACGGGGGGUGCAAGCGUUGUCCGGAAUCAUUGGGCGUAAAGCGUUCGUAGGCGGCAAGGUAAGUCUGAUGUUAAAGCCCGGGGCUCAACUCCGGUUCGGCAUUGGAUACUAUCUAGCUAGAAUGUGGUAGAGGUAAAGGGAAUUCCUGGUGUAGCGGUGAAAUGCGUAGAUAUCAGGAGGAACAUCGGUGGCGAAAGCGCUUUACUGGACCAUUAUUGACGCUGAGGAACGAAAGCCAGGGGAGCAAAUGGGAUUAGAUACCCUGGUAGUC
rnacentral:rRNA from 1 species